CCUUAUAUUAACAGACACUUAAUAAAAUAGAACUUCGUUUUUAAAUUGACAGGUAGUGCUUAAAGGUAGCAGUGGUGAGUUUUUUACUAAUAACAUGAUAUCCAUUAUCAAUAAAAUUGUAACAUGGAAUUCGGAAUUUAUACAAAUUAGACAAUAGGUAUAAUAUUUUUAAUUUUAUUAUACUUUUCAACACAUGAAAUAAGUAUGUUAAUUAGUAUUCUUAUACAAAACAAUAAAUAAUAUAUGUACCUGUAUUGUAGGUAUUCCUAACUAGUAAAUUAAUUAGUAACUAAUUUGGAUAGUUUUCUUAAUUUUUAGUUGAUGGUUAAAAAAAUAAUUAUAUUGUCUCAUUCUCAUUGUAAUAUGAGUAGUCAAUAUAUACUCAAACAUAUCAUUUUUAUGUUUAAAACAUGGAAAUAGAAUUAAAUAAUUUAAUUUAAAAAUGUCAUCAAUGUCUUCGAAUAUAUUUUGACUAUUAACAUGCUGGGAAAAUGACAUUUCAAUAAAUUUGUCUAAAAAGUAUAAAAAAAAUUGUUUUCAGGGUGAAUCAAAAAAACAUUUAGAUUUUAAAUUGACUAGUUGGGCAAUUACUGUAUAACAACUGUUUUCUGGAUUUUUUGUAUCCGAAAAACAAAUUUGACAAUUUGUUUUUACUAAUUUUUCUUAUCAGGUAUCUAUUAAAUUAAAACAGUGAUAUCAUUCAGUUAACUUAAAAUAAAUCUACAUCAUUUAUCAGCAUAAAAUAUUUCAACACAAUACAAAUUACACUACACAUUCAAAAGUAGCAUUGUCAUUAAAAUUAUGUUACUGAAAGAUGUCAUGACAUAAGAAAACUCUUUACCAAUCAAUUUGCUGCGACAUACAUUUGGACUGAAGUAAAAGGAAACAAUCUUUAUCAUAUUUAUACCUGUCUAAGGUAACCAUCAGUAAGAUAAUUGUAAUUGUUUUAACAACUACUAUAUAAUUUAGUAUAAUCAUUCAUAUUUUUAUAUAGAUGCUGUUUUAAAAAAUGCCAAAGAUUCAAAAGAGUAUGACAUUAUUAUUACUUGUAUCAAAAACUAUAUGAGACAUGCAAAAGCUAGAUUUUAUAAAAAAUAAAUGAAUACAG